ACGGUUCGAAAGUCUUCCACCCUGCAAAUAGUUAUGUGAUGGAUAAGGGCAAAUAAGAAAGAAAAAAUGUAAGAAGACCAAAGUUUUCUAGUUUUUACUAAUUUUUCAGAAACAACAAUAGUUUUCCUAAUUCUGUAUUCAGGCCAUAAUCUACAGCAUAUCACCUUACACCUACCAAGGUAACUCAUGACCUCAAUUAGCCUUCAGAAAAAUGAGGCAAUGAUGCAAUGUGGUUGCAAGGAAUUCAUGAGGAAUGCAGAAAAAAACAAUAAGCUGAGGAAAACAUCAAUACCUCAUGCUCCUUGAGCUUCUCGU